AGCGAACGCUGGCGGCAGGCCUAACACAUGCAAGUCGAACGAACUCUUCGGAGUUAGUGGCGGACGUGUGGGUAACACGUGGGAACGUGCCUUUUGGUUCGGAAUAACUCAGGGAAACUUGUGCUAAUACCGAAUGUGCCCUUCGGGGGAAAGAUUUAUCGCCAUUAGAGCGGCCCGCGUCUGAUUAGCUAGUUGGUGAGGUAACGGCUCACCAAGGCGACGAUGAGUAGCUGGUCUGAGAGGAUGACCAGCCACACUGGGACUGAGACACGGCCCAGACUCCUACGGGAGGGAGCAGUGGGGAAUCUUGCGCAAUGGGCGAAAGUCUGACACAGCCAUGCCGGGUGAAUGAGGAAGGUCUUAGGAUUGUAAAAUUCUUUGUCCGGGGGCGAUAAUGACGGUACCCGGAGAAGAAGCCCCGGCUAACUUCGUG
rnacentral:rRNA from 1 species